rfam:Echinostoma caproni strain Egypt genome assembly, scaffold: ECPE_scaffold0003510
GCACUGCUGACGAGUCCCAAACAGGACGAAACAGUCUGUCCAGUGC